UACGUAGGGUGCGAGCGUUGUCCGGAAUUAUUGGGCGUAAAGAGCUUGUAGGCGGUUUGUCGCGUCUGCCGUGAAAAUUCGAGGCUCAACCUCGAACUUGCGGUGGGUACGGGCAGACUAGAGUGUGGUAGGGGGAGACUGGAAUUCCUGGUGUAGCGGUGAAAUGCGCAGAUAUCAGGAGGAACACCGGUGGCGAAGGCGGAUCUCUGGGCCAUUACUGACGCUGAGGAGCGAAAGCGUGGGGAGCGAACAGG
rnacentral:rRNA from 1 species